UAGCCAUGGUGUGGACAUGAAUUUGUGAGAUCCUUGAACCUUUCCCAACAUUGAAAGAAGGUCUCUUCCUCUUUCUGGGCAACGUUCAUAAUUACAUUCCUUAAAGUGU